CUCUCUCUCUCUCUCUAUGCCUCUUGAUCGUCGUUGACUCUCCCUCUCUCACUCCAGAUCAUCAUCACUCCCCAUCCUCCAUGAGAUCGUCGUUGACUCUCUCUCUAUGCCUCCAGAUCGUUGAUGACUCUCUCUUCCUUACUCCAGAUCAUCAUAGCUCCCCAGCAUCCUUCCACUAGAUCGUCAUUGACUCUUUCUCCCUCACUCCAGAUCAUUGUCGCUCCCAUCACUCUCCAACUCUCCAUCACACGUGGUCACUGUCUCCAGCUGUUGUCACUAUCUCCAACUACCAAACGUGAAAGUACCGCCUGUUUUAGAUCCAGAAACAGAACCCAACCGGCGCUCGUUUAUGGUCAAUGAUUAAAGAAAAUUAUAAAUUUUUGUUUUCUGUGCAUUCUUGGAUUAAUUAUGUGAAAAUUGCUAUGAAAAUGAUGAAUUUUUCAUUUGGAGUACUAAUUGUGUGAAAAUUACUGUCAAAAUUAUUGGAUUUUUCGUUUGGAAUAUUAAUUGAUGGUUCAGUAUAAUGUAGAAUUGUUGUGAAAAUUGUAGGAGUUAGUAUGUAUGGGGAGCAGUUUUGGAGGAAUUAUUGAUUUGUUUAGAAAAUGUCUAUAUGGUUAAUCAUUCAUUUAUCCUGAUUGCUCUAAAUUAUUCUUAUACUUCUUGUUGGAUCAUGUAGUCAAUUAUGGCUGCAAUAGGCAAACAUAGCUAUGUAAUAAUCUAGCCUGAGUUUGUAAAUAAAACUCUAUAGCAGAAAAAUCACCAAGACCUUUCAU
rnacentral:lncRNA from 1 species